GCGGAUGUGGCGGAAUUGGCAGACGCGCUAGAUUUAGGCUCUAGUGGAUUACCCCCGUGCAGGUUCAAGUCCUGUCAUCCGCA
rnacentral:tRNA from 1 species